AUGGAGGAGGAAGAAAUCAUCGAGGAAGAACUUUUGCUGGUGGAGUCUCAACUCAAUGGACUACAAGACAAAAUCAAGACAUUACUUGAUCAGCAAGAAGAAUUGUAUGAGCGCCAAGCACAGUUGAAGGCUUUGCUGGAAAUAUCUAAAACUUCCAGAGAUACAUCAAAUAGUGCCCCUUCAGUUCCUCUGGAAGAUUGGUCUGGAAAGUUCUCAUGGGAUUCUCAGGUUGAUGACACUCGAUUCAAUGUAUUUGGUAUUUCUUCCUACAGGUCAAAUCAACGAGAAAUAAUUAACUCCAUCAUGAGCGGAAAAGAUGUUCUGGUUAUAAUGGCUGCUGGUGGAGGGAAGAGUCUGUGUUAUCAACUUCCAGCUGUACUUCGUGAUGGAAUUACACUUGUCGUCAGUCCUUUGCUUUCGCUUAUUCAGGACCAGGUCAUGGGACUGGCGGCCUUAGGUAUACCAGCUCACAUGUUGACUUCCACUACCAACAAGGAAAUCGAGAAGUUCAUUUAUAAGGCACUUGAAAAAGGUGAAGGGGAAUUGAAGAUAUUGUAUGUGACACCUGAAAAGAUAUCCAAAAGUAAAAGGUUCAUGUCUAAGCUUGAGAAAUGCCAUCAUGCUGGGCGUCUUUCUCUUGUUGCAAUAGAUGAGGCACACUGCUGCAGCCAAUGGGGGCACGAUUUCCGUCCAGACUACAAGAAUCUGGGCAUAUUGAAGAUCCAGUUUCCCAGUGUUCCCAUGAUAGCUUUAACUGCAACUGCAACAAGUAAAGUGCAAAUGGAUCUGAUAGAGAUGCUUCAUAUCCCAAGAUCUGUCAAGUUUGUCAGCACUGUUAACAGACCCAACCUUUUCUAUAGAGUAUAUGAGAAGUCAUCAGUUGGAAAGGUUGUUAUUGAUGAGAUUGCAAAUUUCAUAAGCGAAUCAUAUCCAAAUAACGAAUCCGGGAUAGUGUAUUGUUUUUCCAGGAAAGAAUGUGAACAGGUUGCCAAAGAAUUGCGUGGAAGGGGUAUUUCAGCAGAUUAUUAUCAUGCAGAUAUGGAUGUUGUUGCUCGUGAGAAAGUUCAUAUGCGUUGGAGUAAAAGCAAAUCACAGGUCAUUNNNNNNNNNNNGGCGUUCGGAAUGGGAAUCAAUAAACCAGACGUCAGGUUUGUGGUUCAUCAUAGCCUUAGCAAAUCUAUGGAGACAUACUACCAGGAAAGUGGUCGGGCAGGGAGAGAUGGACUGCCUUCAGAAUGUGUUCUAUAUUAUCGGCCUGGUGACGUUCCCCGCCAAAGUUCAAUGGUCUUCUAUGAAAACUGUGGUCUGCAAAAUCUUUAUGACAUAGCACGAUAUUGUCAGUCUAAGAAAAACUGCCGUCGUGGUGCUUUCUUUCAACAUUUUGGAGAGGCCGUGCAGGAAUGCAACGGAAUGUGUGACAACUGUGUUUCCAGUAUUGAGCUCAAGGACAUAGAUGCUACCUACCAUACAAAAAUCAUUGUUUCACUUCUCCAAGAAAUGCAACAAAAUGACCAAAGAGCUACAUUGCUGCAGCUAGUGGAUAAGUUCAAAACAAAGUGGAAACAUUCAGGUUGUUCAAAUGAAGCAGUUGAUCUUAAGAAGGAGGAAAUUGAGCAGCUGAUAGUUCAACUUAUACUUGACCGUGUUUUGAAAGAAGAAUUUCAGCAUACUGCAUAUACAACAAAUGCAUAUGUUGUCUUAGGACCACUGUGGAAGCCAGCAUUGCAAGGGAAUAGACCGGUGAAGCUAACUAGUGCUAGUCACUCUCAAGAUAGUGGUGAUAGAUUCAAAAGUGCGAAGCGCAAUCAGAUGAGCAAUUUGGAAGCUAAAUUGGAUGACAUGCGUAGAACCAUCUCUUCUCGUAAUGGGGGCAUAUUCCCGCAUGCAGUUCUUUCCACGGAGCAAAUUUCCCUGCUAAACUGCCAUACACCAACCACUAUUGCCGAGCUAGAAAAGCUGAUAGGGAAGGUAAAGACCGACAAGUAUGGUAGCGACAUCAUUGAGGUGAUGCGGUCAGAAACUGGCAGUGGAAAGGACAGUGGUGAUGGAGCUAAGAGGCAAAAGAAAGAUAAGGGUGUUGUUUUCGUCGAGAGUAGCGAGGAAGGCUAG
rnacentral:rRNA from 1 species